rnacentral:rRNA from 1 species
GCAUGUGGUUUAAUUCGAUGCAACGCGAAGAACCUUACCUACUCUUGACAUCCGCGAAUUUGGUAGAGAUACCUUAGUGCCUUCGGACGCGACAGGUGCUGCAUGGCUGUCGUCAGCUCGUGUUGUGAAAUGUUGGGUUAAGUCCCGUAACGAGCGCAACCCUUGUCCUUAUUUGCCAGCGCGUAAGCGGGAACUCUAAGGAGACUGCCGGUGACAAACCGGAGGAAGGUGGGGACGACGUCAAGUCAUCAUGGCCCUUACGAGUAGGGCUACACACGUGCUACAAUGGUCGGUACAAAGGGUUAAUCCCGAAAAGCCGAUCUCAGUCCGGAUCGGAGUCUGCAACUCGACUCCGUGAAGUCGGAAUCGCUAGUAAUCGUGGAUCAGAAUGCCACGGUGAAUACGUUCCCGGGCCUUGUACACACCGCCCGUCACACCAUGGGAGUGGACUGCACCAGAAGUGGUUAGCCUAACG